rnacentral:lncRNA from 1 species
UUUACCAUAUAACAGUCAGAACCGACCCCCCAAACACUAGAGACAACCCCUCAUUCCCUUCUCCACCUCUCAUCUCUUUCUCUCGGAUCUCCGUUCAUUGCCAUUAAUGAAAAUCCCUCUACGGCAGCAUAACCACUCCUAUCACCUAAAAACUUCAUCCGUGAUUUUGAUCUCCCCCUCAUCUCAUACCUUUUUGUGGAUUCCUUCAAAACUCCUAGGACAUCUCCAAAUUUUGGAUCUGAGAAGUCAACUUACCUAACCCCCAAAUUUGUCUGAUCACCCUACUCCCAAACCCAACAAAAUCAUUACCCCAUACCCAUCACCUCACCCUAUUCAUCAUUCCACCAUGCAUCUGACCCGCAACCCCACCAAAUUCCCCCAAAUAUAGAUCUACAACAACAAAUAGGAAACCCUAGUUUUUCAUCUUCUUGAUUUCUUCUUGAAUUAGUUGUUCUCAGCGAGAACGAUUGAUUAGCAUUAUUUUGGUCUAUUUUGAAGAUUUUUGGGUUCGCUAGAGUCCUUUUCAAGCCAGCAGUCCUUGUUAAUUUUGUUAGGUAUCCCUGUUGUCCUUUUUCCUCUUUUUCUUUCUUCUGUGCUUUCUUUCUUCCUCCUUCUGACUAGCACGUGCUCAGUCAUUAUGUUGAAUGGAGGCCAUUUAACUAAUUAGUGUUUAGUUAGAAUCUAAUGAUUAAGUUUAACCUCAAAUGUCUUUCAAUACUAUUUGUUUGAAGUAAUAACCUGAUUAUUUUAAUUACUUGUUAACUAGUUUAAUGGCAUGAGUUGUUAGUUUAAUCAAAUUUUGGUUAAUUAAAUUAUCUAUUAAGUUUUGUUGUGUUAUUGCUUCUGUUUUUAAUUGUUGUUUUCCUUUUAUUAUUUUGUUGUUUUGGAAUUUGGAUUCGCUUGUUUUUAUACGGUCAAUUAGCUAAGUGACCUGAUUAAGUCAUUAGCUUAGAUUUUACUUAGGAUUUUUAUUUUAGCUAGGCUGCCUUGUAUUAGCUAAUUUUACAUUUUGAAUAGUUUAAUAGUUGAAAAGGUAAUAAUAAAGAGGGUUAAUUAAAAACUAAGACAUGGGGGUUCCAAGUCUAGAAUUGGCUAGAAGGUUCUAGAAAGGGCUAAUGAGUAAAUGAAAUAAUUUGAAAUUUAGGUUGUAAUUGGUUGAAACUGAAAUAUUUAGCAAAUGUAAGGAUAAAAUUAGUUAUACAUAAGGUUAAAUAGAAGGUUCUAGGUAUUUUGAAAGAUGGCCUAAUUUUAGUAAAAAUGCUGAAAUUGGGUGCGAAAAAAGACAGACUACUAUAAAAAGAUGUUAUACUAUUCUGAAAUUUUAAAAUUUAGGUUAGAAUAUUCCAUUUUGAUUCCUUUUGGUACACUCAAUAAAAAGAAAAGCACUCACUCAUAAAGACACUGGUCAGAUUUUUGAAAACCUAAAAAAGCACUAAAAAUUUCAGCUAUUGUUAUAUUGAUGGCUGAUCAAUUUCUUUUAUAAUUCGACCUAAUUUAGAAUAAAUUUUUCUUUGGAAAUUACUAGGUUCUUAAGUUGCAAGAUGGUUUGAGGUUGAAUGUUGUGAUAUUGCUGGUUUUUUUGCUAGUUUUAUUGGUUUCCUGCUUUGUUCUUGCUAAUUUUUUCCUUGAAGAUGCACAACCUUGUUCUUAUUCUUUGUAACCAAGUAUAUCUUGAGCCUUGAAUCAUUUUUUGUUUCUUUCUUAUGUUUGCUUCUAAAUAAUUUGAAUAUUUUUCUUGUUUUGGCUUUCUUCUUAGUAGUUUUUGUUUAGUUACAUUAAAGUUUUUGUUGUGUGGAUUCAUGAAAUAGCCAGGACAUUCAGUGCUGAAGGAUUUGAAUAGCACCUCUUGCAUAUACUGGGUUUAGGUUAAGUAGUCUAGUUUAAAAUGUUAACUUUCAAUUUUUUCUGCUUCCAUGUGAUUUUGUCCAGUGCUUUAAAUUUGCCAUUUGGUAAUAUAUGAGCUUUCCAUGCUUGAGUAUCUUGAUAAGUGUCGGGUAUGGUCAAAAUAGGCCAUGAUUGAUGCUUGAGUACAUUUGGUUGAAUUGUUUCACCACUACUACAGUGUGUAAAAUGAUUGUAUGUUCAUGUUGCUUCAUGAGAAACUUUUGUAGUCUUUUAGCAUUUCUACAGUGUUCAAAAGAAUUAUGCAUGUUGAUAUUACAAUGUACAACUUUUAUGCAUGUUCAGUUUUUUUUACUACAGCUAAUUCCAUAAUAUUUAAGUAACUAUCCCUUUUGAUAUAGGAACAGUUUAAAGAUUCAAACAGUUUUAAAGGUGUGAUAAAUAGUUAAUGCCCAGCAUGUUAGGCAUUUCAUUUAUGAUUGGUGUAAGUAUGACUAUACACGAUUUGUGAUUAGUUUAGCCUUAGCAGGCUUUGGGUGUGUGAGGUGCUUUGGGCCUGGAAAUGGCCCAAAUCAGGCUGCCAAGCCGAAAAUAGGCCUCUUUUGUUUUCAUCCCCCUUUGCUUUAUGAUUGGGCUCAAUUUUCAAGCCAUGUUGGUAUCAGCCUUAUUUCGUUUAGUAAUCGCCUUUAAUGAUAUAUCAGACCUAUUGCUGGCCCAAUUUCUUGCCAAUAGUUAAAGACCUACCUUGUUUUUCAACAACAACAACAACAACAACAACAAUAACCCAGUAUAAUUUAAUCUUUUCUUCUCUCCCACGUCUGUCCCGGCUUGCACACCAUUUUCGAAUUUCAAUUCUCGGAUUUGGCUUUCAAAUGUUCCUAUGAUGGCCUUGUACUCAUUUUCCCUGGCUUUCCAUUCCCAUUAUUCCUGUGACGUUUCAAUGAACUCCUAGAGGUGAGGCUUUUUGGGAGGUCUCUCAAACUCAAUUACUCUCCUGUACCAGGCAAGGUAUCCCGGUGACACUUCGCAUCUGGCCCCAUCCUGUACACAAGUGUCUGCUGCUAGGUAUUGGCAUUUAUUCCAGAUCUUGCGAACCAUUGCAUUAGGGAACUGACCAUCGGGCCCAAUCUCAGCUACCCAGAUACUGAGAUCUUCGUCUUUUGACACUAUCUGGCAUCUUUCGAGUUUUCUCAAGACCCGAUGCGGGGCAUAAGGCUGGAUACUCCUAAGACUCAUCAAGAGAAAAUGUGGUUCUGUUGACGGCAUGUAUACAAUCUCAUCCAGAGACAACCAUCCUAAUGUCCAUUCUAUUUGACUGGCAGUGAGGGACUGGAGGUAAGAAGUCCAUUUUGCUGCACCUUCGGGUAGGCUGAGCUUUUCAAUUCUCGUGGAAAACUCCUCUAUGAAAGUUUUCUUGGUGGACCCAGAACUCAUGAAUCGAGUGCGGUAGCAUAGAUGAUUUGUCAUCCACAUUUGCAAUAACAGGUUACACCCUUCAAAGAAAUCAUUUCCGACCUUGCAAGCUGUGAGAGCGCAAAAAAUUUCAGCUACUAUCAUGGGCGCGAGUGUGCACUUGGCCUGUGUGCGUAGGGCACUGGCUGCACCUUCAGGUAGGCUGAGAUUAUUAAUUCUCUUUGCAAGUUUUAUCGGUGGACCCAUAACUCAUGAAUUGAGAGCGGUGGCAUAGAUGCUCCAUCAUCCACAGUUUCAAUAAUAAGUUAAACCCUUCAAAGAAAUAGUUUUCGACCUUUCAAGUUGUGAGGGCGCGAAUGAUUCGGCUACUAUCAUGGGCGCGAGUGUGCACUUGGCAUGCGUGCGUAGGGUGCUAUCAACCCUUCUAUCUUUAUGUCAAUGUCUCAGUCCUUUCUUGGAAAUAUCAGAAGCCCUAGAAAAGCCACCAUGAAAGCAAAACGUUUGUGUUCUUCCCAUUUGACACGGUUUCCCUUACUACAGACUUUGUUAUGUGGAUUGUUGAACCCCCCAAUGUUACCGUAUCUUUGAUUACAGAAAUGAAAAAGUACAGAACCCUGCCGCCAAGUUCGCAUCAUGUACUACUUUGCUUAUCUUUAAGGUAUCUAAGAAUUUAUGCACCGUUAUUACUCUUGGAGCAACCAGGUACCUGUGUCUUAAAGGAAGUUCCUUAUUUCAAAUAUAUCCUGCUAUUUCUUCCAACACUGGAGUGAGUUCAAAGCUUGAGAAAUGAAAUACAUUGUAUGUGGGGUCCCAGCAUGUAACUAGUGCUCUUAUGAUGUCUCCUCGGGGCACGAUCUCUUAUAACCCCAGAAGGUCCCCCAAACACUUCUUUAUCUCGUCAUGUCCUUCCCUGCCCAAGUCAUUCCACCACAACCAAAACUCCAAAGGGAUUCGGCUCACAAGUGAAAAAGGUCCAGUUUGGAUUGUGCUCAUCCUGCACAUUUAAUAAGGUAAACUAAUGACGUGUAAAUUUAUUCCUGUUUGACUCGUAAAAAAUAUAUUUUGACAAUAACAACGCCACUCGAUUUACCCAGGAGUGCCGGUGAAAUAUUGAAAAUUAUUUAGGGCACUUUUGCACAAGGGAGGUUGGACCCGAUGUGGGUUUCCUACGUAUCCCACCCUCGGUGAGAAUCAAACCGGCUUAGUUUGGGCAAAACAAUUUGUCAAAACGAUAAACAUUAUUGAAAGCCUCUUCUUCUUUUACUCCUUUUUCUUUCUUUUUUUUUCUUUUUUUUUCAAAACCCGGCGGCAUUCGGCGCUACUUGAACAUUGGUUUUACAAAUGAUUAAUCUCAGUCAGCCCUAGUACCACUUAUUUUCUAGAUUAUUUUUUAAAAAAAAUUCUCUUUGUUUUUCUCUUUUAUUCCCGCAAGCCGGUCAACAUGAAAAUCUAAAACAACUAAGCACAAGUAGCACGUAAUAUGCAUCAGGAUGGUCUUUGUAUUUUGGGAUACCUGUCCUAAUCAGACCAACCCCUGUGUUGAGUCCCCUAAGUCAAAUGCAUGAUGCAGAUAAGCGUUCCUACUAGGGAUCCAGCAUGAGGUUUUGUUAUACUAAGUUCAGCACCUGGGUAUUUUUUCUAGACUGUGUACCCAAGCGGACAACGCGAGUCGAGGAGGGGGCUACAUACCGGGGACCCGCAAGAUCAUCGGGCUUUGUAAAUUGUCCGAGCCUCUUUCUUAUUUUAAGGUAUGACAACAUAAUAGGAGUCUCGGCCAGCGAGCACAUCCCCGAAGAUAAAGAGAGAAGGAUUUCAUAACAAUUUAUAUACAGUUCAAAUAAUAGCAAAGCGGUAAAAACAUCAUUUUGCACAUUAAGCCAACAUGUAAAAUCAAAUAAUAACCAAAGCAAAAUACGACAAUUAUUCUAAGCUUGAAUUCUUGAACACUGAACCUGAGAUUCUGGGUUAAUCCCUAACAGAGUUGCUAGAGUUGUCACACCUCCUUUUUGCUACUACAGCCCAGCGAAGGGAGUAGAUAAGCGAAUUUUUCCAAUUAAAGGACAAUCCAAACGGGAUUCAAUUAAUUAGGAGAAUUUUAGAGUCACCACUUUGGAGAUUUAUGCUGUCCCAAGUCACCGUUUAGAAUCCCAAAUCGAGGAAAGAAUGACUCUGUUUAACAGUCCACGAACCAGAAAUCCGAGUAAGGAAUUCUGUUAAUCCGAGAGAAGGUGUUAGUCAUUCUUGGGUUCCGUGGUUCUAGCACGGUCGCUCAACUACCAUUUUUGGCUUAAAUUAUCUAAUUUUAGAACAUGUUUUAACUUAUGUGAUUUUUAACUUUAAAUAGCUUUAUUAUCAUUUUAAAGAGAAUUGCAACAUCGUUAAAACAUGCUUCAUACCACGUCACAUAAAAGCACCCAUGGAUUUUGACAUAUUCCAACUUCAUUGAGAUUUGGAUUUGGGUUACAUAAAUGGGCACCCGUCUUUUGGAAGAUAUUCUAUUAGUAAAUUCGCACCUAUAGCAAUUACGCUUUCGAAAAUUCAUGGAAGACCGUGAAAUUUGCUAAACGACACUUCCAACUUUCUAUGCAUUUUAAUAAGUUAUGCAUUUUAAUAAGUUAAGGAGCCUAUGUUGUGUUUGGUUUAGUUAACAUGCCUCGCUUUAUUUGAUAAGGACAUCCUAUAGAAUUUAAGUUUUCUAUUAUUCUUGUAUCUAAAAUAUCCUAAUCAUUUAUACAUGGUAAUAUAUUUUGGGGAAUUCAGUACUCCUAUUUCAGCCUCAUUUAUGACUAAUUAUACAUUGGGCUCCGAUUUAGUUAGCCCAGAGAUAUGUAUCAUUUAUGCUACAACUGGAAACUACUGGGCCUUCCCAUUGGGUCCAGAAGUGUUGGACCAAUGAGUCCAUUACAAGGGAAUAACAAUCAGCUUUAGUUUUAAUUAUAUUGUACUUGUUAAAACCAUACGCAUGAGCAUUAUAAAAUAUACCAACAAAAUUUCAUAAAGAAGACACUAAAAAUGAUUUCGUAUCAGAUUUUAAUGUUAAUGUUUGGAGAAGCAAUUUGGAAUACUUAUCAUUCAUAGUGUUACACAUGUUCAGUUUUUGAAUUCCUAAUACUACUCAUACCACUAAGCUUGUUUCGGAUCAAUCUAUUGCAAAAUCUACUGAAUUUAAGCAAAUUAAAUGUAUAGUCCCAUUACAGUCCAUAGUUAAUUCAUGUUUAAGUUUAGUAAAAAGCCAUAAAAUUCUAAGGAAUUAAAUACAAUUACAAUAGGGAAUAGAAACAAAGUACUAUCUUCUCAUUAUUAACCACAAUCGCGAAUACAUAUAAGCAUUACUUCUCAGCUUUAGCGUGAAGAUGGAUAUGUGGAAUUCAGCAAGAGAGAGAGCCUAUGAGUAAAUGAAGCAAACUAGUAAGCAAGCAGCAGCCAAUCGAUCAGUAACCACCCAGAGAUUUAGGAAGAUUUUGGGAAAAAGCAUAUAUAUAUAUAUAUAUAUAUAUAACUAGUAAGCAAGCAGCAGCCAAUCGAUCAAUAACCACCUAGAGAUUCAGGAAGAUUUUGGGAAAAGGAAAAACAUUCAACAGAAAUAAGACAGUGCUGAAGAUUAAUGAAGAAUAUAAGAGAUCCUACUAUAUGUUUAUAUAUAUAUUAAUUCACUAAAGCUUCAGAAGAAAACUCUUCUCGAAAAUCUGAAAGUUCCAGCCCAAAAGUNNNNNNNNNNNNNNNNNNNNNNNNNNNNNNNNNNNNNNNNNNNNNNNGCCCAAAUGUUCAGAUUUCCCCUUUUUAUAGUUGAAGCCUUAAGGAAACACCUAUUUCAUUGGUUUCCUUUUAGUCCUUUACCCAAUAUUCAUUUUUACCUAAAUAGUCCUUAGUUUUCUGACAUGUGCCUCAAGUUUUGAGAAGUAAAUUAUGCUUAAGCCCCUCACUAGAAUGUUCUAGGGGUUGUUAAAGGAUUCUUUUAGGUUCAAAUACCCUCUAUACCCCUGUCCCCUUUCCUAAUUAACUAACAUAAGGUUUUUACCCUUGGUUUCCAUUUGGUUUGGUCAAAUCUGACACUGGUCAAUUGCAUUCAAGUUAUGGGACAAAUUCAUGGUCUGGACUACAUGCUUUAAUCAAUACAACCCAAGUUUCAAUUAAGCAUCUUAAUGUGACCUUAUUCAGCAACAAAGGGUUGAGACAAUUAUCACAACUUCAGGACUAUAUGAAUAUCCACAAAUACUUUAAGAUAAACCAAAAAAAACUCAAUUUACUAUGCAAGAACAAUGGCCAAACUAUAACACUCAGCAAAAACUUUGAAGUAAAGAAAUCAGGAAAUUAAAACAAAGCUAAUAUCAGUAGUUACAAUUUUCAGAAAAGCAAUUUAUCCUAACAUGUGUAAAUACUGAAGCUCACCAUUACUAGGAAAUAAAUAUGAUUGAUAUGAAACUCUUAAAAGAAGACACCUACUGAGAAAUCAUGAUAUGACAAAAAAUAUGUAUCUAAUAAAGCCAUUCAGAAUCUCAGAGGUGAAACAAAUACAGAAUCAAGAGACAAGGAUCAAUAAACCAUGUAAAAUUUUAGAAAUAGGAGGCUAAGAUCAACAUGAUAUCAGACCAUUCAAAAAAUGAAUGAAUUCAAACCAGUGACACCUAGAGGAAACAAGGCAUAUAGUAAGUAGAGACGACUACUUAACCUACUUCAGGAUGAGAUCGUGGAAAAUAACUAAAAUUUAAAAGAAAGAAAGCAACUACAAUUUUAAAAGAAAUAAAGCAAUUAAAUAUAUACACGCAACAACAGUAAUUAAAACAUAGAGUACUUAGCUUUUGCAUGCGGUCCUUACUUGAAAUUUUCCAGUUCCAAGGAGUUUCUGACCCAUUUUGGGGAGAGUUUUAACCUCUAAGGCAUUUGCCUUGAGUACCAGAGAGAGCCAAAGGGGUUGAGAUGGGGGCUUUAUGCUUUUGAGACCAUGUAAGGUCUCAGAUUUGAUUUUUCCUUAUCGUUAGUAGGGUUUGACGGCUGUGGGUGGUAUGGUUGGGGUGAGGGACAGAAGGAGAUCACCUGAGGCCAAUUUGGCCGGAUUCCGGUGAAUUUCAGGACCUAGGGUUGGUUUGGAUUUGAUAUUUGAGCCGGUCUGUUGGGAUUUGAGGGAUAUGGCUUGGAUGGUUGGACAGGGGAAGGUAAGGUGGUUCAGGGGUGUAGUUCUAGGUUGAUUUGGGGUUGGGUCGCCGGAGACGGUGGUUCCGCCGAACCUUAUUUUUACUAUUCGAGAAAAUAGAGAGUUGUUCGAAGGAAACAAACCACAGGACGGGAAAUAGGGGUUUGUGGUGUUUUGAUGGUGUAAAUUUGAGAUGGUUUGGUGACUGGCCGCCGCCGUGAGGCGAUUGCCGGCGGCAGCGUAUUGGUGGUUGUUGGGUGGUCAAGGGUGGUCAUAUGGCUGAGACGGGGAGGUGUUACAGUCAGUAUGUUUGUACGAGGAAGGAGAAGGGUUGUCUCUGAAUCUAUAGAGACAUUUGGACAUAUUUAUGUGAUUUUGGGCGAGGCUUCAGGGCUGUUAGAUGGUUUCUCGAUCAACGAUCGAGAUGAGUGGCUCCAAAAAGUUUGUUGUUUUGGUCACCCGUGAUCGGCUGGGUUGGAGACUAAUGUUUGGGCUGGGGUAUUUGCUAUUUUUUACAGGGUAAAAGGAAUUGGGCCACCCAGGUCUUGCCCAAUAGUGUUCAGCUUGAAUGGUCCAUUAUUAUACACAUUUUGUUUUUGCUGUUUGUUUUAUUUAUUUAAUUCCUAAUUAUAUUUUAAAAUUCCUCAUUAACCUAAUAAUUGUCUAUUUAUGCAACAAAAAAAUAAAAAUGCAACAAAUUAUAAUUAGACAAAAAUGAUUAAAAUGCCAGAAAUACUACUUAUAUAUUUUUUGAAUUUUAUAUUUGUAAAAAUAACCCUUGUUAAUAAUUAUUUUAGCAAAAACAUGAAAUUAAAUCCUAAAUGAUUUUAAGCAUGCAUUAAUGAAAACACACUGGCACAUGCAAUUAAAUCCUAAAAUUAAAUCCAAAAACAAAUAUUAAAAGGAAAAUCCUAAACUUGAGAGUCCUGUAGGAGUCGACUUAACAGAGCAAAAAUCACAUGCUCACAGCUGCCCCUCUUUGCGCGGAAACACGAAGAGUUCAUAAUCAACACUUAUUUUAGAAAAAAAUAUGAAAACUAAAUGAAUUUAAGCAUGCAUUAAUUAAAACACACUGACAGACGCAAUUAAAUCCUAAAACAAAUAUUAGAAGGAAAAUCUAUAACCUAAGAGUCCUGUAGGAGUCGACUUAACAUGGCAAAAAUCACGUGCUCACAAUUUACGAGAGGAUGAAAACUGCUCAGAGUCUCUAAAAUACCUAUACGGACGUGGAUCGAAGAGAAUUAGAGUUCCAAGUAGAUGAUUGUGUGUUCUUCAGGGUAUCUCCUAUGAAGGGAGUCAUGCGAUUUGGGAAGAAAGGGAAGUUGAAUACUAGAUAUGUCGGCCCGUAUCGGGUCAUUCAAAGGAUAGGACAGGUAGCUUACAGGCUGGACUUUCCCCCUAAAUGUGCACCCGAUGUUCCAUUUGUCUGUGUUGAAGAAAGUGGUUGGAGAUCCAUCCACUAUCGUACGAGUUGAGACCAUCAAGGUUAAUGAAGGGUUAUCAUGUGAAGAAGUCUCAGUUACCAUUCUUUAUAGGCAAGUCCGUAAAUUGAGAAAUAAAAAUUGCUUCAGUUAAAGUAUUAUGGAGAAGUAAACGAGUCAAAGAAGCCACGUGAAAAGCAGAAAGUGAGAUGAAAGAAAAGUAUCCCCAUCUGUUUGAACGAGUGUAAUAGUAAUUGUGUGAACUCCUAUCUCUAGUCAAACUGAUGUUGUGUUCAAAUUGGUGUAAGGGCACCCCAUUUUUCCCCUUAAAUGCUUUACUAUUGUACCACCCCCAAGUGGUGCAUAAAUUGUAUGUGUUGUGAUCAUUUCAGUUAUGUGCUAACCUUUUUGCAUGUGAACGAUUAAUGGUAGUGCAGAUCGGUAAUGAUUAAUUAAGAUGCAUAUAGUAUGUGGAAGUGAUUAAAUAUGUGCAAGAGUUGAGGUAAUAAAUCAUAUGCCAAUAUUAGGGACAAUAGGAAAUGUAUAUUGGUGCUUGAACUAUGUUUCAGGGGCUCUCUAACAAGUACAUAAGUCUAAAUUACAAAGGAAACUCUGGAAAAAUUUUUUAAAAAUAUGGGAGCUAGUGAAAAUUGGGAGGUUGCAUAUAAUAUUUUCAAAACCAACUGAUUUCCAAAAUCCUCUUUGGAGGAUGAAUGAUUUUAAUUGGGGAGGAUUUAAGGCCCCGCGAAAACUUAUGCUCAAAAUGUGGUAACUUGUAGUGCCAAGUUUUGAAUAUGUGUUGGGAAUGUGUAAAUUUCACUGAUCUAGCUUUUAAAAAUAAAGAAUCAAAGUUUUCCAGAAAAAUGCUAUUAUGUGGUCUAGAAUGCGAUCGCAGAUCAAGUAUGCAGAGUGCAUUUUUUUCUACAGACUGAGAUAGUAAUCGGGUGAAAUUCAGGUAAAAAAUGCGGUCCAUUAUGCGAUCACAUAACUGAUAUGAGGACCACAUCGUCGUCGUAUAAUUUCCCAAGGAUUUUGUGAAGGGUAGUUUUGCGGUGCCUUAUGGAACCGCAAAAUCUGAAUGUAGACCGCUUUCUUGUCGCAGAUCCAAAUAGUUCUCCUAGUUUUUGAGAACAUUUUUACGAUCCAUUUCGUGGACCGCAUUUCCACUCUGCGAUCGCAAAGUGCGACAUCAGAUCUGACUCGGGCUCUAAUUUUUUUGAAAUGUUAAACCCGACCCCUUCUUCAAUAAAACACCCCAACUCCUCAUUUUUACAUAUUUUCUAAACAAACUAGAGAGAUAAAGAGAGAAUUCUUGAGAGAUAAAGUUUUGCAUUUGUUGAUUUGAUUCUUCAAAGUCACCCGGGCCGAAAAAUCUCAAGUAAUAGUUUUCAUCUCUGUCCUUGUAGGUAAAAUCCCUAAAUCUUUUUCAUUGAUUUUAAAGUUUAAACUAAAAGGGAGAUUAUUAUGCAUUGAUUCCAAGAAGCAUAAGUUGAAAUACGUAUGCAUGUUCUUUAAAACCAAAAAUCUAGUAAAAGGAAUUGGGUAGGAAUAAUGAUUUGCAAAAGGAGGGGGUUGAUAACCUAUAUAAAUUUGAGGGUAGUAAUUGUGAACUUUAAGUCUAAGAUGUAUGUGUUAACUUGUAAACCAGAUUGUGGUACUAGGAUGUUGAUGAGUUUAAUGUAGAAGUAAAAAGGGGAAUUCGACUCCAGACAGCAUGACUAACUUUAACCAUUAUAAGGUCACUUUGUUGGUGUAUGCGUGCUUGGUAUGUGUCACUUAUAUGGACUAUUUGUGAAUUCUUGUGAUUAAUAUGCCUUGAAUGAUUUUGGUUAAGUUUCCUGAUAUAAUGGUGUAAAUAAAUGGCAACAAAGCAAGUAUGUGUAAAUGUGUUUAUGUGGUAAGAGCUGUAUAAGAAAUGAUGGACAUAAGUCGUAAUUGUUGUGAUUGAAUAACUGUGGUAAUAUCAUGUGUGGCUUAUCGUGGACAAUUAUUAUUGUGACAUGAAUUUUAUUCGGGCUGUUGUACUUGAUGGAAAUAGUAUUGUUGUUUAUGAAACUCUUUGUGAAUUAUUGUUGUUGUUGUUGUUGAGUGAAUUAUGAUUGUCCAGUGCGAUAGGGUUGCGCGCCGCAACAUGAAGUAAUAAGGUGUGGGCUGUGAUUAUAAGCGUGGCCGAGGUUAUAAGGGUGGCUGAGGUAAUAGCAACGGAAAAGUGAUUGACAUCACCAUUGAUAUGCAAAUAUGCGAAAGUUGUGAAAAUCAUUGAUGUGAUGGAUUGAUGUUGAAAGGGGAAAAAGAGAGAUUGAUAAACUUGUUUGGCUUUGGUUGUUCCUUUCAUGUGCAUUUGAUCAUUGAUUCUAUUACUGUUGUUACUUCUGCAUUGCUUGAUUUUACUUGGGGUAAAGUUUGUUCUUACAUACUAGUAUAAUUCAAAUGUAUUGACGUCCCUCUUUCCAGGGUCGCUACAAUCAUGUUAUGAUUGUAGGUUGAUCCAUAGCAGGUACUCCAG